GGACCUUGACGAUGUCAGAGACAAGACGAUCUGCUAGGGUUCGGGAGAAGUCCUCUCUAAUCACAACGCGCAACACUGUAACAUGUUGCAGGUCAGCUGGCAUAGUGUAGGCUGGGACAAUCCACCCAAACCUACGGAGGGUCUCAGAGACCUCGAAUUCGUUGUGGAGGCUAUUGUCUUUGAGGGAAAAUGCCACCAAGGGUAUACCUUCA
rnacentral:misc_RNA from 1 species